rnacentral:lncRNA from 1 species
GACAGAACCAGUUACGUCAUAGAUACACAUCAUGAACACGCAGGAUCUAUAACAGAGUAAAGUGGCAUCAAGUUUCAUUAUAUUUAUAACAUAUUUAAAACAGACAUAAAAGGUAAAAUAGUCAAAAUAUGGGUACAUCAGACAUCACUGUGUCACAAUCUCAAAACAAACAAGUAUCUAACAAAAAAGCACACAAAGCAUCUAUCAAAUUUAAAAAUCACAUGCAUUGCUUCGCGUGUUUAACGUCAUAAAAUGUAAACGUCACAUAGGAAGAAAUAUAAAAUAAUUUUGCCGUUCAAUGUUUUUUUCAAAAAAAAUAUAAUUUCACAAAUGGUAUACAGGGUUAAAAAAUCAAAAGUAUGUUUGAACUUAUUUCAGAAACAGACCAAGAUUUAAAAUUAUCCAGAAGUUCUUUAGAAUUUUAAAAGUACAGAGUCACGUCAUAUGAACCAAAGAAACACAAAAAGUCGCACAUACGAAACACACCAGCAAAAAUGAAAGAUAAUACUUUACACAUUGACGGGAUGUAUAAGUACCGAGACACGUCAAAUGGAUAUCACAGAAAACAGACCAUUCAACAGUUAAAGUAAUAUUAAUAAUAGAAAAAAGACAAAUGAAAGAACAAUAUAACACGUUUUUAAGAUGAUAAACAACGUCAGUUCGCAGAAUCUAUACAUCAAGACCAUCAUGUAAGUUUUGUGAAGUUGAUACGGAAUAUUUAUCAACUAGGUCUUGGUACCUUCUAAUGAACUUUUUUUUUAGAAAAAGGACGAGACGAUCCUUGACAUACCCCUGGUUCAUCAACUUUCUGCUAAAACACUGGUGACGUUUUACAAAGUCUGAGUACAAGCUACAAUCACUUAGAUAUCGAAUAAGUUGGGAAAUGUAUAUCCCAUAUGCAGGUGAAGUUGGUAUAUUGCUACUAAGGUGGGGCAAAUUGAUAAUUUCAAAAUUAAAAAUCGUCUCGUUUGUCAGAGAC